rnacentral:rRNA from 1 species
UCCGGUUGAUCCUGCCAGAGGUUACUGCUAUCGGUGUUCGACUAAGCCAUGCUAGUUAAAUGUUCUUCGUGAACAUAGCAGACUGCUCAGUAACACGUGGACAAUCUGCCCUUGGGUUCAGCAUAACCCCGGGAAACUGGGGAUAAUUCUGAAUAGCUCACAUAUGCUGGAAUGCCUUGUGAUUUAAAGAUCCUUCGCCCAAGGAUGAGUCUGCGGCCUAUCAGGUUGUAGUGGGUCUAGAGUACCUACUAGCCAACGACGGGUACGGGUUGUGAGAGCAAGAGCCCGGAGAUGGAUUCUGAGACAAAAAUCCAGGCCCUACGGGGCGCAGCAGGCGCGAAACCUUUACACUGCGGGAAACCGCGAUAAGGGGACACCGAGUGCCAGCAUACAAUGCUGGCUGUCCACAUGUGUAAAUAGCAUGUGAUAGCAAGGGCCGGGCAAGACCGGUGCCAGCCGCCGCGGUAACACCGGCGGCCCGAGUGGUAAUCACUAUUAUUGGGUCUAAAGGGUCCGUAGCCGGUUUAAUCAGUCUUCCGGGAAAUCUGACAGCUCAACUGUUAGGCUCCCGGGGGAUACUGUUAGACUUGGGACCGGGAGAGGUAAGAGGUACUACAGGGGUAGGAGUGAAAUCUUGUAAUCCCUGUGGGACCACCAGUGGCGAAGGCGUCUUACCAGAACGGGUCCGACGGUGAGGGACGAAAGCUGGGGGCACGAACCGGAUUAGAUACCCGGGUAGUCCCAGCCGUAAACGAUGCUCGCUAGGUGUCUGGAAUGGUGCGACCGUUUCAGGUGCCGCAGGGAAGCCGUGAAGCGAGCCACCUGGGAAGUACGGCCGCAAGGCUGAAACUUAAAGGAAUUGGCGGGGGAGCACUACAACGGGUGGAGCCUGCGGUUUAAUUGGACUCAACGCCGGACAACUCACCGGGGGCGACAGCAACAUGUAGGUCAAGCUAAAGACUUUACCUGAAUCGCUGAGAGGAGGUGCAUGGCCGUCGUCAGUUCGUACUGUGAAGCAUCCUGUUAAGUCAGGCAACGAGCGAGACCCGUGCCCACUGUUGCCAGCAUAUCCUUUGGGAUGAUGGGUACUCUGUGGGGACCGCCGAUGCUAAAUCGGAGGAAGGUGCGGGCUACGGUAGGUCAGUAUGCCCCGAAUCUCCCGGGCGACACGCGGGCUACAAUGGUUGGGACAAUGGGCUCCUACACUGAAAAGUGACGGUAAUCUCAUAAACCCAGCCGUAGUUCGAAUUGAGGGCUGAAACCCGCCCUCAUGAAGCUGGAAUCCGUAGUAAUCGCGUUUCAAUAUAGCGCGGUGAAUACGUCCCUGCUCCUUGCACACACCGCCCGUCAAACCACCCGAGUGAGGUAUGGGUGAGGGCGCGGACUUUAGUGCUGCGUUCGAACCUAAAUUUCGCAAGGGGGGUUAAGUCGUAACAAGGUAACC